rnacentral:rRNA from 1 species
UACGUAGGUGGCAAGCGUUGUCCGGAAUUAUUGGGCGUAAAGCGCGCGCAGGCGGGAUAUCAAGUCUGUCUUAAAAGUGCGAGGCUCAACCUCGUGAGGGGACAGAAACUGGUAUUCUUGAGUGUCGGAGAGGAAAGUGGAAUUCCAAGUGUAGCGGUGAAAUGCGUAGAGAUUUGGAAGAACACCAGUGGCGAAGGCGACUUUCUGGACGAUGUCUGACGCUGAGGCGCGAAAGCUAGGGGAGCGAACGGGAUUAGAUACCCCGGUAGUCCUAGCCGUAAACGAUGGGUACUAGGUGUAGGGGGUAUCGACCCCUCCUGUGCCGGAGUUAACGCAAUAAGUACCCCGCCUGGGGAGUACGGCCGCAAGGUUGAA